rnacentral:tRNA from 5 species
GCGCCUCUAGCUCAACUGGUAGAGCACUUGACUCUUAAUCAAUAGGUUGUGGGUUCGAGUCCCACGGGGCGCA